rnacentral:rRNA from 1 species
UGCCAGCCGCCGCGGUAAUACGGACCGGACAAACGUUAUUCGGAAUCACUGGGCUUAAAGAGUACGUAGGCGGCCUUGCAAGUUGGGUGUGAAAUCCCUCGGCUCAACCGAGGAACUGCGCCCAAAACUGCAAGGCUUGAGGAAGGUAGGGGUGAGCGGAACUGAUGGUGGAGCGGUGAAAUGCGUUGAUAUCAUCAGGAACACCGGUGGCGAAGGCGGCUCACUGGAUCUCUUCUGACGCUGAGGCACGAAAGCUAGGGGAGCGAACGGGAUUAGAUA